rnacentral:rRNA from 1 species
UACAGAGGUCUCAAGCGUUGUUCGGAUUCAUUGGGCGUAAAGGGUGUGUAGGUGGCGCCCGUUAGUCGGGUGUGAAAUUUCGGAGCUUAACUCCGAAACUGCAUUCGAUACUGCGGUGCUUGAGGACUGGAGAGGAGACUGGAAUUCAUGGUGUAGCAGUGAAAUGCGUAGAGAUCAUGAGGAAGACCAGUGGCGAAGGCGGGUCUCUGGACAGUUCCUGACACUGAGACACGAAGGCCAGGGGAGCAAACGGG